GACGAACGCUGGCGGCGUGCUUAACACAUGCAAGUCGAGCGGUAAGGCCCUUUCGGGGGUACACGAGCGGCGAACGGGUGAGUAACACGUGGGUGACCUGCCCUCAGCUCUGGGAUAAGCCUGGGAAACUGGGUCUAAUACUGGAUAUGACUCCACGGUGCAUGUCGUGGGGUGGAAAGCCUUGUGCGGCUGAGGAUGGGCCCGCGGCCUAUCAGCUUGUUGGUGGGGNGAUGGCCUACCAAGGCGACGACGGGUAGGCCGGCCUGAGAGGGCGGACCGGCCGACACUGGGACGUGAGACACGGCCCACGACUCCUACGGGAGGGCAGCAGUGGGGAAGUCUUGCGCAAUAGGGCGGAAAGACCUGACGCAGCGACGCCG
rnacentral:rRNA from 1 species